UACGAAGGGUGCAAGCGUUAUCCGGAUUCAUUGGGUUUAAAGGGCGCGUAGGCGGCGGGGUAAGUCGGGUGUGAAAUCUCAGAGCUCAACUCUGAAACUGCACUCGAUACUGCUCUGCUUGAGGACUGGAGAGGAGACUGGAAUUCACGGUGUAGCAGUGAAAUGCGUAGAUAUCGUGAGGAAGACCAGUGGCGAAGGCGGGUCUCUGGACAGUUCCUGACGCUGAGGCGCGAAGGCCAGGGGAGCAAACGGG
rnacentral:rRNA from 1 species